GAACCUUACCUGGGCUCGAAAUGCUAUGGACCGGGGUGGAAACAUCCCUUCCCCGCAAGGGGCCGUAGUAUAGGUGCUGCAUGGCUGUCGUCAGCUCGUGUCGUGAGAUGUUGGGUUAAGUCCCGCAACGAGCGCAACCCUUACUUCCAGUUGCCAUCAUUCAGUUGGGCACUCUGGCAGAACCGCCUCGGAUAACGGGGAGGAAGGUGGGGAUGACGUCAAGUCCUCAUGGCCUUUAUGUCCAGGGCUACACACGUGCUACAAUGGCCGGUACAAACCGUCGCAAACCCGUGAGGGGGAGCUAAUCGGAAAAAGCCGGCCUCAGUUCGGAUCGUAGUCUGCAACUCGACUACGUGAAGCUGGAAUCGCUAGUAAUCGCGGAUCAGAAUGCCGCGGUGAAUACGUUCCCGGGCCUUGUCACACCGA
rnacentral:rRNA from 1 species